rnacentral:rRNA from 1 species
GUGAGGAAUAUUGGUCAAUGGGCGGAAGCCUGAACCAGCCAUCCCGCGUGAAGGAAGAAUGCGCUAUGCGUUGUAAACUUCUUUUCCAGGGGAAGAAAACCUCUGAUGUAUCGGAGCUUGCCGGUACCCUGGGAAUAAGCAUCGGCUAACUCCGUGCCAGCAGCCGCGGUAAUACGGAGGAUGCGAGCGUUAUCCGGAUUUAUUGGGUUUAAAGGGUGCGUAGGCGGAUAAAUAAGUCAGUGGUGAAACCCUGCAGCUUAACUGUAGACUUGCCGUUGAUACUGUUUAUCUUGAGUUUGGUCAAGGCAGGCGGAAUGUGUAAUGUAGCGGUGAAAUGCUUAGAUAUUACACAGAACACCGAUUGCGAAGGCAGCUUGCUGGGCCGGUACUGACGCUGAUGCACGAAAGCGUGGGGAUCGAACAGGAUUAGAAACCCCGGUAGUCC